UACGUAGGGGGCAAGCGUUGUCCGGAUUUAUUGGGCGUAAAGAGCGUGUAGGCGGUUAUACAGGUCCGCUGUGAAAACUGGAGGCUUAACCUCCAGACGUCGGUGGAAACCGUAUGACUAGAGUCCGGAAGAGGAGAGUGGAAUUCCUGGUGUAGCGGUGAAAUGCGCAGAUAUCAGGAAGAACACCCGUGGCGAAGGCGACUACCUGGCCUGUUCUUGAGCGCUGAGGCGCGAAAGCUAGGGGAGCAAACGGG
rnacentral:rRNA from 1 species